GGCCUGCGCGGAAGAUGUAACGGGGCUAAACCAUGCACCGAAGCUGCGGCAGCGACACUAUGUGUUGUUGGGUAGGGGAGCGUUCUGUAAGCCUGCGAAGGUGUGCUGUGAGGCAUGCUGGAGGUAUCAGAAGUGCGAAUGCUGACAUAAGUAACGAUAAAGCGGGUGAAAAGCCCGCUCGCCGGAAGACCAAGGGUUCCUGUCCAACGUUAAUCGGGGCAGGGUGAGUCGACCCCUAAGGCGAGGCCGAAAGGCGUAGUCGAUGGGAAACAGGUUAAUAUUCCUGUACUUGGUGUUACUGCGAAGGGGGGACGGAGAAGGCUAUGUCGGCCGGGCGACGGUUGUCCCGGUUUAAGCGUGUAGGCUGACUUUCCAGGCAAAUCCGGAAAGUCAAGGCUGAGGCGUGAUGACGAGGCACCACGGUGCUGAAGUGACAAAUGCCCUGCUUCCAGGAAAAGCCUCUAAGCAUCAGGUAACAUUAAAUCGUACCCCAAACCGACACAGGUGGUCAGGUAGAGAAUACCAAGGCGCUUGAGAGAACUCGGGUGAAGGAACUAGGCAAAAUGGUGCCGUAACUUCGGGAGAAGGCACGCUGACAUGUAGGUGAAGCCCCUGCGGGUGGAGCUGAAGUCAGUCGAAGAUACCAGCUGGCUGCAACUGUUUAUUAAAAACACAGCACUGUGCAAACACGAAAGUGGACGUAUACGGUGUGACGCCUGCCCGGUGCCGGAAGGUUAAUUGAUGGGGUUAUCGCAAGAGAAGCUCCUGAUCGAAGCCCCGGUAAACGGCGGCCGUAACUAUAACGGUCCUAAGGUAGCGAAAUUCCUUGUCGGGUAAGUUCCGACCUGCACGAAUGGCGUAAUGAUGGCCAGGCUGUCUCCACCCGAGACUCAGUGAAAUUGAACUCGCUGUGAAGAUGCAGUGUACCCGCGGCAAGACGGAAAGACCCCGUGAACCUUUACUACAGCUUGACACUGAACAUUGAGCCUUGAUGUGUAGGAUAGGUGGGAGGCUUUGAAGCGUGGACGCCAGUCUGCGUGGAGCCGACCUUGAAAUACCACCCUUUAAUGUUUGAUGUUCUAACCUGGCGCCGUGAUCCGGCGUGGGGACAGUGUCUGGUGGGUAGUUUGACUGGGGCGGUCUCCUCCCAAAGUGUAACGGAGGAGCACGAAGGUCAGCUAAUCCUGGUCGGACAUCAGGAGGUUAGUGCAAUGGCAUAAGCUGGCUUGACUGCGAGAGUGACGGCUCGAGCAGGUGCGAAAGCAGGUCAUAGUGAUCCGGUGGUUCUGUAUGGAAGGGCCAUCGCUCAACGGAUAAAAGGUACUCCGGGGAUAACAGGCUGAUACCGCCCAAGAGUUCAUAUCGACGGCGGUGUUUGGCACCUCGAUGUCGGCUCAUCACAUCCUGGGGCUGAAGUAGGUCCCAAGGGUAUGGCUGUUCGCCAUUUAAAGUGGUACGCGAGCUGGGUUUAGAACGUCGUGAGACAGUUCGGUCCCUAUCUGCCGUGGGCGCUGGAGAAUUGAGGGGGGCUGCUCCCAGUACGAGAGGACCGGAGUGGACGCAUCACUGGUGUUCGGGUUGUCAUGCCAAUGGCACUGCCCGGUAGCUAAAUGCGGAAGAGAUAAGUGCUGAAAGCAUCUAAGCACGAAACUUGCCCCGAGAUGAGUUCU
rnacentral:rRNA from 1 species